GCCAGGCGUGGUGGCACGUGCCUGUAGUCCCAGCUACUCGGGCGGCUGAGAUGGGAGAAUAGCUUGAGCACAGAAGCUCUGGGCUGUAGUGCGCGAUGCCAAUUGGGUGUCCGCACUAAGUUUGGCAUCAAUAUGGUGACCUCCCGGGAGCGGGGGGACCACCAGGUUGCCUAAGGAGUGGUGAACCGGCCCAGGUCAGAAGCGAAGCAGGUCAAAACUCCCGUGCUGAUCAGUAGUGGGAUCAUGCUUGUGAAUAGCCACUGCACUCCAGCUGGGGCAACAUAGCAAGACCUCAUGUCU
rnacentral:SRP_RNA from 1 species